AGGUUGGACACUAUCAAGCCUUUCUCUUGCUGUUAAUGAAGGAUGUUCUUCCACUAAGUCAGAAGGCUGUGAGAUACCAACUUCAUACAGUCCAAAGAACAGUAGAGUAACUCUAUGGAAAGCAACUCAUGCUUUUAGAGUAUCCAAAAUCUUCAUAUUAAAAUUCAUUUUCAAGAGUUGAUAUCCAAACCUAUCUGAUGGGUGAAGAUUUUCAAAACACUGUCAUGAGGUGUGAAUGCAUGCUGAACACACGGUAUGGCAAGACAGUGAAGUUUUUAAGUUUGACUUCAAGAAGUUUGUGAGAAAAUUAUAUGACUCAUGUUGGAGACAAACAGUGUAACAAAGUAAGCAAUAAAACUUUUUUUUCAUGUUCUUUUGUAAGAAUAAAAUGUAACUGAAA